GCAGAGCACUCCUACGGGAGGCAGCAGUGGGGAAUAUUGGACAAUGGGGGAAACCCUGAUCCAGCCAUGCCGCGUGUGUGAAGAAGGCCUUCGGGUUGUAAAGCACUUUCAGUGGGGAGGAAAGGUUGAUGGUUAAUACCUAUCAGCUGUGACGUUACCCACAGAAGAAGCACCGGCUAACUCCGUGCCAGCAGCCGCGGUAAUACGGAGGGUGCAAGCGUUAAUCGGAAUUACUGGGCGUAAAGCGUGCGCAGGCGGUGUGUUAAGCGAGAUGUGAAAGCCCCGGGCUCAACCUGGGAACUGCAUUUCGAACUGGCAGACUAGAGUCUUGUAGAGGGGGGUAGAAUUCCAGGUGUAGCGGUGAAAUGCGUAGAGAUCUGGAGGAAUACCGGUGGCGAAGGCGGCCCCCUGGACAAAGACUGACGCUCAGGCACGAAAGCGUGGGGAGCAAACAGGAUUAAAUACCCUGGUAG
rnacentral:rRNA from 1 species